CCAGCUCCGGACUGGGCCAGUCCACACCGGGAGGACUUCCGAUCCAGCAGGUCCGGUUUCCGCCGUCACCGUCCCCGAUCCCGGCCUGGCUAACCGGGACGUCGCCACCGCCAGUUUACACAGAGGCCGGGGACCCACCGGUACCCACGCUGCAGUCUGGGGCCUCGUCCGGCUCCGCGGGGGCCUACGACGGUCUCCCCACCAUUGACCGGGCGCCGUCAUCAUCGCUGCUCCGCACCGCCGAGCCGGUCGGCCAUGGCGCGCCGACCCAGAAGCCGCCACGGUUCGCCAAGAUCGACUUCGCCACUUAUGACUUGGGAGCGCUUCCGCGAGCUCUGCCUCCUUCGUUUUGGGCCCCCGAUCCGCGGGAGCCGCCUGGCGGAGCUCGGCCGCCUUCCCUUCACCUCCACGGUGCAGGACUACGCCGACCAUUUCCAGGCCCUGGCAUGCCAUGCGUCGGGUGUGACGGCGCAACAGCGGGCCGACCUCUUUGUCGGUGGACUUCCGGAUCACAUCCGCGUGGACGUGGAGCUUCGGGGACCCCAGGAUCUCUAGUCGGCCAUGUACUACGCCCGCGCGUUCGAGCGCCGCGCGGUGGCCAUCCAGCAGGAGUCACCGUCCCGGACCGCUGGGUCGCUACCCGGGCCGGAUUCCGCGCAGGGUCGGCCUGCGCAAGCUUCUGCGGCACCCCUCGCCGCGACCGCGGCGCGCCCGUUCCGCCGGCUCACCUCAGCCGAGCUACUCGAGCGUCGCCGCCAAGGGUUGUGCUUCAAUUGCGACGAGCCCUACACGCCCGGCCAUGCCUGCCCGCGACUCUUCUACCUGGAGGUUGCAGACUACAUUCCGGAGGACGCCGUCGCCGCCGACCUGGCCGCCCCAGCUGUCGAGAAGGUGUUUGACGCUGGUUGAUCACCUCGAGGAGUUCCGCAAGCGCUUCCCCACCUUACAGCUCGAGGACGAGCUGUUUGUGCAGGCGGGGAGAAGUGUUAUGGCCGGUUUAGCUAGUGUUAUGGCCGGUUUAGCUAGGCCCAGCGGGCAAUCUUAGCCCACAAGUUAUCUUAGGUUAAUUCUUAUGCAAGUUAUCUUAGGUUAAUUCUUAUGCAAGUUAUCUAGGUUAUAAAUAUAGGCUGUAAGACUCUUUUUGGAAUUAAGCAAUAAGAAUAUUAUUAUCUCUAUUGCCCGGCUCCCAGAGGAGCCGGAACCCUAGCCGCCUCUAACCCUAGCCGCCGCCGCCAUCCUCCUCCCACGCGACGGUGUCCAGCCGCCGGCGCGCCCGCUCAUCGCUGCGCCCUCCUCAAUCCUUCCCCUACAACCUACGGAGCAGGUCCUGUAGGAUCCCUGGUUCUACCAAAGACGAUGUUGAAGGUGAUACGCCGGAGGUAGUUUGAUCUCUUAGUAUGUGCACAUGGUACUUACUGGGGGUGGUGUGAUCGCUUCACAGAGCCGAUGACAAUCGAUGAGUGUCAACAAAGGAGAUUUUGGUGCUUGCAACUAUUGGAGGAAGAUGAUGUCUAUGUGUCAAUCCCUGAAGGAAGAUGAUGCUGAAGGUGGGCUCUAACAUGUGCCACGUGCUGAACUUGAUUUGAUGCUAGCUCACACGUUUGGUUUUCUUGUGCUGCCACCAUUGCUAAUCUGAUUGCAAAAGCUCAUAAAACAGAACCUUGCCUUCUCGCGGUCUCACCUUGCCCCGAUCACUCAAGAUAGCAAACACCGCCAGCCUGGUACAACAUAUCUGUCUAAAGUUAGACUUUGUUCCCAUGGUGUUGUGGCAUCAAAAAUUCAGAUAAUCUACAUCUUUCUUAACCCUGCAGUUGUGAUCAUUUAAUUGUAGUUACAUGUGUUUCUGUAGAGGCAUCCUUCCAUUGAUGUAUAAUUGGAAUAGUUAUUGUGUUCAUAGUUCUUUUGGCCGAUGGCAGCUAUGUAUAUAGAUUUUCUCAAAAGAAA